GACGAACGCUGGCGGCGUGCUUAACACAUGCAAGUCGAACGGAAAGACGCGGCUUUUGUUGGGUUCUCGAGUGGCGAACGGGUGAGUAACACGUGAGUAACCUUCCCUUAACUGUGGGAGAACUUCAGGAAACUGGGGCGAAUACCCGGUAGGAGCUCCUGCUGCAUGGGGGGGAUUUGAGAGUUUCGGCGGUUGGGGAUGGACUCGAGGGUUAUCCGCUUUUUUGUGGGGUAGUGGCUGACCAAGGCUUUGAAGGGUAGGCGGCCUGAGAGGGUGACCGGCGACAUUGGGACUGAGAUACGGACCAGACUGGUAAGUGAGGCAGCAGGGGGGAAUCUUGCACAAUGGGCGGAAGCCUGAUGCAGAAGCGCCGCGUGCGGGAAGACGGCUUUCGGGUGGUAAACAGCUUUGGCCGGAGACGAAGCGUGAGUGACGGUAACGGGUAAAAAAGCAACGGCUAACUACGUG
rnacentral:rRNA from 1 species